GACGUCGAUAUUCGACGUGAUAAACACGAACAAGUUUGGUGUUUAUGACGUCGGUAUUCGACGUCAUCAACACGAUCAACUUUGGUGUUUAUGACGUCGGUAUUCGACGUCAUAAACACGAACAAGUUUGGUGUUUAUGACGUCGAUAUUCGACGUCAUAAACCCGAACAAGUUUGGUGUUUAUGACGUCGAUAUUCGACGUC
rnacentral:miRNA from 1 species